AGGCUUAGCUGCUCAUCCCAGAGGUGCCAAGAGGAGGGUUUCAAAUGGAGCAAAGGGAAAAAGAUGGAAUCAGAAACAAAAACAAAUAAAAGAAAUGACUGUUAACUCGUA